UGUAAAUUUUAAACUGUAAUUACUGUGAGUUAAGAUCUUUAAAAUUAAAAAAUUUGGCGGUAUUUUAGUCUGUUCAGAGGAACCUGUUUUUUAAUCGAUAGUCCACGAUAAUUUUUACUUUGAUUUUAAAUUUACAUAUCGUCGUUAAUAAAAAUUUUAGGAGAAUUAUAAUUUUUGAUAUUUAUUAUUUUAUAAUAAUUCAGAUCAAGGUGUAGUUUAUGUUAAAGUUAAAAUGGGUUACAUUAUAUUUAUAUGUGGUUUUUGACUUUAAAAGUUAAUUUAAAAUGGAUUUGAUAGUAAAGUUUUUGUUUAUGAAAUUUGAUUUAGCUCUAAAAUAUGCACACAUCGCC
rnacentral:rRNA from 1 species